rnacentral:rRNA from 1 species
AUGUGCUCUCCUUCGGGCAAUGGAUACAGGUGGUGCAUGGUUGUCGUCAGCUCGUGCCGUGAGGUGUUGGGUUAAGUCCCGCAACGAGCGCAACCCUCAUUGUUAGUUACUACCAUUCAGUUGAGGACUCUAAUGAGACUGCCAACGAUAAGUUGGAGGAAGGUGGGGAUGACGUCAAAUCAUCAUGCCCUUUAUGACCUGGGCUACAAACGUACUACAAUGGCCAAGUACAAAGAAGAUGCGAAGCGGUGAACGUGGAGACGAACCUCAGAAAGUUGGUCUCAGUUCAGAUUGAAGUCUGCAACUCGACUUCAUGAAGGCGGAAUCGCUAGUAAUCGCGGGUCAGCAGACCGCGGUGAAUACGUUCCCGGGUUUU